rnacentral:rRNA from 1 species
CAACGAAUAUUCCGCAAUGGGCGCAAGCCUGACGGAGCGACGCCGCGUGGGGGAUGAAGUCCCUUCGGGAUGUAAACUCCAAUAGCACGCCAGGAAGUAAUCCUGGCUAAUAUCCAGGAAAGUUGACCAGCGUACGAAAGAGGCGGCUAACUCCGUGCCAGCAGCCGCGGUAAUACGGAGGCCUCGAGCGUUGUUCGGAAUCACUGGGCUUAAAGCGCGUGUAGGCGGAACGGUAAGUACCUUGUGAAAUCCCCGGCUUCAAUCCGGGAACUGCUCGGUAUACUGCCGUUCUUGAGGCAGGUAGGGGUCACUGGAACCUUAGGUGGAGCGGUGAAAUGCGUAGAUAUCUAAGGGAACGCCUGUGGCGAAAGCGGGUGACUGGGCCUGUCCUGACGCUGAGACGCGAAAGCGUAGGGAGCGAACG